CUUUUCUCUUUUUCUUCUCUUUUCUUCCUCCUUCUUCUUUAAAAAAUUUUUAAAAAAAAUUUGACCACACACAUUAGGGUUUGCACUGAUACAUGCAUGAUAUAAUUUAUCUUGACAUAGUUGAACCUAAUCUUGAAACUGAACGGUUGAUCCAUAUUACACCUGAUAAUCAAAUGGCUAGAAAAUCUUGAGAACCACCUAGGC
rnacentral:lncRNA from 1 species